rnacentral:misc_RNA from 1 species
UUUAUAGCCAAUGCUAAUAAGCACCUCCACUAAUAUAACUUUGCAACCUUUGCACAAGUUCUUAUUCGCACUUCUUGAAGGGAAGUUAUUUAUUCGAUUGAUGUUUUUGGCUACUUCUAAAAGCAAACAAAUGUGAUCCGCUACCUCUUUCUAGGAGGAAGAUCUUAAUAGAUCUUAUUGAGAUCUUCCUCCUAGAAAGAGG